UUGAACGCUGGCGGCAGGCUUAACACAUGCAAGUCGAACGGUAACGGGAAGGGAGCUUGCUUUCUUUGCCGACGAGUGGCGGACGGGUGAGUAAUGCUUGGGAAUCUGGCUUAUGGAGGGGGAUAACUACGGGAAACUGUAGCUAAUACCGCGUAAUAUCUAUGGAUUAAAGGGUGGGACUUUCGGGCCACCUGCCAUAAGAUGAGCCCAAGUGGGAUUAGGUAGUUGGUAAGGUAACGGCUUACCAAGCCGACGAUCUCUAGCUGGUCUGAGAGGAUGACCAGCCACACUGGAACUGAGACACGGUCCAGACUCCUACGGGAGGCAGCAGUGGGGAAUAUUGCACAAUGGGGGGAACCCUGAUGCAGCCAUGCCGCGUGAAUGAAGAAGGCCUUCGGGUUGUAAAGUUCUUUCGGUAGCGAGGAAGGUAUCAAAUUUAAUAGAUUUGGUAAUUGACGUUAACUACAGAAGAAGCACCGGCUAACUCCGUGCCAGCAGCCGCGGUAAUACGGAGGGUGCGAGCGUUAAUCGGAAUAACUGGGCGUAAAGGGCACGCAGGCGGUUGAUUAAGUGAGAUGUGAAAGCCCCGGGCUUAACCUGGGAAUUGCAUUUCAUACUGGUCAACUAGAGUACUUUAGGGAGGGGUAGAAUUCCACGUGUAGCGGUGAAAUGCGUAGAGAUGUGGAGGAAUACCGAAGGCGAAGGCAGCCCUUUGGGAAUGUACUGACGCUCAUGUGCGAAAGCGUGGGGAGCAAACAGGAUUAGAUACCCUGGUAGUCCACGCUGUAAACGCUGUCGAUUUGGGGAUUGGACUGUGAGUCUGGUGCCCGAAGCUAACGUGAUAAAUCGACCGCCUGGGGAGUACGGCCGCAAGGUU
rnacentral:rRNA from 1 species